AAAAAAAUCGCCCCCACCCCCAAAGAUCUGGAUCCGCUAGUGUGUAUAACCCUUGUUAACAAACACUGUUAGUGAACAUUUUUACCAAUUGUGUGAUCUAGUAGGAGGCAGCUGCAGAGCUCUUCAAAUUGAUAUUGAAUAUACAGCUUUACACCAUGACUCUGGUUGUCCUCGUGUCCUUGUGUGCAGUGUUGACUCUGUCUUACGCGAAUCCUCUUAACCCUCGUAAUUGUAACAUUAAUGGAAAGACUUACAAGAACGGAGAAAUUAUUCGGUUUCCAGAUUUUAAUUGUAACACUUAUAACUGUGUACAUGGAUAUCCAAGCCUUUUGG
rnacentral:sRNA from 1 species